GGUUAACCGGCGAAAGAUUAUUG
rnacentral:rRNA from 1 species